GUGCACCAGGCGAGAAUUUUUCUCAAUGGGCGAAAGCCUGAAGGAGCGACGCCGCGUGGGGGAUGAAUGGCUUCGGCCCGUAAACCCCUGUCAUUUGUGAACAAAUUGUUUCACCUAACACAUGAAGCAUUGAUAGUAACGGAAGAGGAAGGGACGGCUAACUCUGUGCCAGCAGCCGCGGUAAUACAGAGGUCCCAAGCGUUGUUUGGAUUCACUGGGCGUAAAGGGUGCGUAGGCGGUUGGGUAAGUCUGACGUGAAAUCUCCGGGCCUAACCCGGAAACUGCGUUGGAUACUAUCCGGCUAGAGGAAUGGAGGGGAGACUGGAAUACUUGGUGUAGCAGUGAAAUGCGUAGAUAUCAAGUGGAACACCAGUGGCGAAGGCGAGUCUCUGGACAUUUCCUGACGCUGAGGCACGAAGCCAGGGGAGCAAACGGGAUUAGAUACCCUUGUAGU
rnacentral:rRNA from 1 species